CAGGAAUAACUUUGGCUUUUGGAACACUGGACUAACCAUGUCAGGAUAACAUACUCCCUUGGAUUAUAGUCAUCGGACUCGCAAGACCAGACUCCAACACGGGCUGAAAUGGGGCCUGACACUCUUGGACACAGAUGUCGGCUACGGCAGCGGCUUCAAAUACGCUUUGGUGACCAUAUUUCUAAUCGAGAGUUGUGCGAACGAGCCAGACAAACCAGCUGGGAGGACAGAAGCACCCCUUCUCCAUCCGCGUUCAGUAACUGAAUACGGAUUCACCCCGUAGUUGUGGUGUUUUCCAUAGCUGUUCCUUGCUCCUGUAUCACAACAUAUCAAGGCUGCCAAGUAAAUGAAGAAUGAAUCACCGCACACUGGUCAACAGCAGACAGGGUCCUUCCACAACCACAUACUUAUGCCAGUAAAAGCUACAGCUUUUCUCCUCCGAUCCAAGAAGCCUGGACUGCAGUCACCAUCUCAACACACCAACCAAGAGAAAGGCGGAUGGCUCAAUUCAAUAUGGAAAAUUGCACAAUAAAAGUUCCAGGACAUGAAGGCUGCAUACUGUGAACGUCAACCGUCCUUCAGGGCACCGUCCUGCGCAGAAGACUUUCUACCCUAAGAGGGAUGGCUGACCGCAGACACUCACAACCAGCACAGACGCCUCCAACCUCAGACUAGGCCCUUCACAGUUGCUGCACUUACCCACCUUCCCAGAGUUUUUGUGUGGUAAUGACAACUGUAAAUAUAGUAUAAAGUAAUGUAUCUAGUGUCAUGUGUAAUACAUUGUUUAAAUUGUCCAUAAAUUUCAAUGACAGUAAAUAUUG